UUUCCUCCCGAGUGCUUGCACUCAAUUGGAAAGAGGAGUGGCGGACGGGUGAGUAACACGUGGGUAACCUACCCAUCAGAGGGGGAUAACACUUGGAAACAGGUGCUAAUACCGCAUAACAGUUUAUGCCGCAUGGCAUAAGAGUGAAAGGCGCUUUCGGGUGUCGUUGAUGGAUGGACCCGCGGUGCAUUAGCUAGUUGGUGAGGUAACGGCUCACCAAGGCCACGAUGCAUAGCCGACCUGAGAGGGUGAUCGGCCACACUGGGACUGAGACACGGCCCAGACUCCUACGGGAGGCAGCAGUAGGGAAUCUUCGGCAAUGGACGAAAGUCUGACCGAGCAACGCCGCGUGAGUGAAGAAGGUUUUCGGAUCGUAAAACUCUGUUGUUAGAGAAGAACAAGGACGUUAGUAACUGAACGUCCCCUGACGGUAUCUAACCAGAAAGCCACGGCUAACUACGUGCCAGCAGCCGCGGUAAUACGUAGGUGGCAAGCGUUGUCCGGAUUUAUUGGGCGUAAAGCGAGCGCAGGCGGUUUCUUAAGUCUGAUGUGAAAGCCCCCGGCUCAACCGGGGAGGGUCAUUGGAGACUGGGAGACUUGAGUGCAGAAGAGGAGAGUGGAAUUCCAUGUGUAGCGGUGAAAUGCGUAGAUAUAUGGAGGAACACCAGUGGCGAAAGCGG
rnacentral:rRNA from 1 species